GACGAACGCUGGCGGCGUGCCUAAUACAUGCAAGUUGAGCGCUGAAGGUUGGUACUUGUACCAACUGGAUGAGCAGCGAACGGGUGAGUAACGCGUGGGGAAUCUGCCUUUGAGCGGGGGACAACAUUUGGAAACGAAUGCUAAUACCGCAUAAAAACUUUAAACACAAGUUUUAAGUUUGAAAGAUGCAAUUGCAUCACUCAAAGAUGAUCCCGCGUUGUAUUAGCUAGUUGGUGAGGUAAAGGCUCACCAAGGCGAUGAUACAUAGCCGACCUGAGAGGGUGAUCGGCCACAUUGGGACUGAGACACGGCCCAAACUCCUACGGGAGGCAGCAGUAGGGAAUCUUCGGCAAUGGACGAAAGUCUGACCGGGCAACGCCGCGUGAGUGAAGAAGGUUGUCGGAUCGUAAAACUCUGUUGGUAGAGAAGAACGUUGGUGAGAGUGGAAAGCUCAUCAAGUGACGGUAACUACCCAGAAAGGGACGGCUAACUACGUG
rnacentral:rRNA from 1 species